CCACCCAAGGCAUACAAAGUCAUCUUAGAACACAUGUGGGAUUUUACUUGAAGAACUGCAAGUACCCUAUCUGCCUUUUCUUCUCCAGUUUCACGCUCAUGCAAGGAUUCACUUGGAGUGGUCAGCUCAGAGCUCGGCGCUGCACUGGUAGGAAGUGAACAUGCCAGGAGAAAAAAUACGAAACAUGUGAACAUCUCUCAUCAUCUUUAUAAUCUACAAAGCCUUCUGGAUGGGCUUACUAGCACAUCCCUGGAGAGACAGCAGACUCGGUUCCCGAGGUAGUGCGGAGGAGCUGGCUCCCUGCGCGAAGGUCGGACCCAUCCCUUGCAGCGCACUGCCCCCUAGCACAUUCCUGCAGGAUGGAGAAGGACACCGUGCUCGGUCACCAGCGCCUGCGGGACACGGCUUCCCUGGGAAUUUUCACACCACCUAUUGACUCAGCCCAGUCAUGCUUGGCUUGCGGGAUCCGACAGGAUCACAGCAUGAAGUUGUGUGGCUGCUCGGUAAGGCAGAGGUCCUUAAUUGUGUUCAGCAGGGUGUUCUUGAUGGAAGACUGGAACAACAUAGAUUUCUUUAUUUGGUGACAUUAACCGAACGUGAACUCGAAUUUUCUCAUAUGAAGAUGGAGGUCUCUGUUUUCUCCUUCUUUCAAUGCUACCUUCUUUAUGGCCAUAUAAGGCUUAAAGAUUUAUCUGAGCAAAGA